AACCGUAUAGCACUUCUUCCCAUCUGACAGGAUUUUACAACCCAAGGCCUUCAUCAUCCACGCGGCGUCGCUGCGUCAGGGUUGCCCCCAUUGCGCAAUAUUCCUC
rnacentral:rRNA from 1 species